GAGACCCCGAGAGGUGGUUGACUGACCUGGAAGUAGGCGCAAUACGCGAAUGCUGCUAAAGAGGAAAAAAGCAGAGUGUGUUUGAGUGCGAAUGUGGGAGAGAGAUAUGAGGGUGUGUCCUCGCGUUGGGGAUAUCCGUCGUCCUUUCUCGUGUGCACUGCAUCUGGCAACGGAGGCGGUCUCUGCCCCUUGGGCAUUUCAAUCGAAUAAGACUUGCUGCUGACGCGGACGUCCCGGGCAACGGAUCGUUUCUCUGCUGUCUUCGCAGUGCGGUGACCCUGGGUUAGAACAGAGGGCUCUUCAAGCGACCAACGUUGAUUAGCAUAUAGCACCAAUGAAUAGAGGCAUGCACUGAA